rnacentral:rRNA from 1 species
GACGAAGGGGGCUAGCGUUGUUCGGAAUUACUGGGCGUAAAGCGCGUGUAGGUGGUUGCCGUAGUCAGGUGUGAAAGCCUUGAGCUCAACUCAAGAAAUGCACUUGAUACUGGGCGACUAGAGGACCGGAGAGGAUAGUGGAAUUCCCAGUGUAGUGGUGAAAUACGUAGAGAUUGGGAAGAACACCAGUGGCGAAGGCGGCUAUCUGGACGGUUUCUGACACUAAGACUCGAAAGCGUGGGGAGCAAACAGG